rnacentral:rRNA from 2 species
GUCUUUUUGAGUUAUUUUUAAAGUCUGACCUGCCCACUGAAUAUUUUUAAAUGGCCGCAGUAUUCUAACUGUGCAAAGGUAGCAUAAUCAUUAGUCUUUUAAUUGAAGGCUGGUAUGAACGGUUGGACGAAGUAUAAGCUGUUUCAUAUAAAAUUAUAUUAGAAUUUUAUAUUUUAGUUAAAAAGCUAAAAUAUUAUUAAAAGACGAGAAGACCCUAUAAAUCUUUAUAUUUAAUAUUAUUCAAAUUUUUUUGAUUAAUUUUAUUUUUAUAAUAUUAAAUAUUUUGUUGGGGUGAUAUUAAAAUUUAACAAACUUUUAAUUUUGAAUUAGAACAUUAAUUUAUGAAUAGUUGAUCCAUUAUUAAUGAUUAUAAGAUUAAGUUACUUUAGGGAUAACAGCGUAAUUUUUUUUGAGAGUUCAUAUCGACAAAAAAGUUUGCGACCUCGAUGUUGGAUUAAGAUAUAUAUUUAGGUGUAGCCGUUUAAAUAUUAAGUCUGUUCGACUUUUAAAUUCUUACAUGAUCUGAGUUCAAACCGGAGA